rnacentral:rRNA from 1 species
ACGUACCCAGGAGUGGGGGAUAACGUAGCGAAAGUUACGCUAAUACCGCAUACGUCCUAAGGGAGAAAGUGGGGGCUCGCAAGACCUCAUGCUCAUGGAGCGGCCGAUAUCUGAUUAGCUAGUUGGUAGGGUAAAAGCCUACCAAGGCAACGAUCAGUAGCUGGUCUGAGAGGACGACCAGCCACACUGGAACUGAGACACGGUCCAGAC